UACGUAGGGGGCAAGCGUUGUCCGGAAUCAUUGGGCGUAAAGAGCGUGUAGGCGGCCCGGUAAGUCCGCUGUGAAAGUCCAGGGCUCAACCCUGGGAUGCCGGUGGAUACUGUCGGGCUCGAGUCCGGAAGAGGAGUGUGGAAUUCCUGGUGUAGCGGUGAAAUGCGUAGAUAUCUGGAGGAACACCGGUGGCGAAGGCGGCAUCCUGGACCGACACUGACGCUGAGGAGCGAAAGCCAGGGGAGCAAACGGG
rnacentral:rRNA from 1 species